GACUGCAUGAUCUAACGGUAUGAUACUACUCCUUCACAGUAGUCGCACGGGUUCAACUCCCGUUGCAGUUA